rnacentral:misc_RNA from 1 species
GAUAAUAUUCAUGUGCUCACACCACCUCCAGGAGCACACCACCUCCAGCUUGCUCUGUCGUCCCUGCUCAGUGCUUGCGCUAGAGUUGCAGCCCAGGAGCCAGAAUUACUACAGCAACAUGGUGUCAUAGGAAUCUCAGCUCUUCUGAAGAAUCUUUGCAGAAAUGGGAAAAAGAACAUUUGAAGAAGAUAUGUGAUGCUUAUUAUCUUCCUGAAUGGUGU